GGCUCAGGAUGAACGCUAGCGGCAGGCUUAACACAUGCAAGUCGAGGGGCAGCGCGUCUGUAGCAAUACAGAUGGCGGCGACCGGCGCAAGGGUGCGUAACGCGUGAGCAACAUGCCCGCAACAGGGGGAUAACCGGUGGAAACGCCGACUAAUACCCCAUAAGGAUGUGGAGUGGCAUCAUUCAGCAUCUAAACUUACGAGGGUUGCGGAUUGGCUCGCGAGACAUUAGGUAGACGGCGGGGUAACGGCCCACCGUGCCGACGAUGUCUAGGGGUUCUGAGAGGAAGGUCCCCCCACACUGGAACUGAGACACGGUCCAGACUCCUACGGGAGGCAGCAGUGAGGAAUAUUGGACAAUGGUCGGAAGACUGAUCCAGCCAUGCCGCGUGCAGGGAAAGACGGUCCUAUGGAUUGUAAACUGCUUUUGUACGGGAGCAAUAAGGGUGUCGUGACAUCCGAUGAGAGUACCGUACGAAUAAGCAUCGGCUAACUCCGUGCCAGCCGCUGC
rnacentral:rRNA from 1 species